AGCGAACGCUGGCGGCAGGCCUAAUACAUGCAAGUCGAGCGCACCUUCGGGUGAGCGGCGGACGGGUGAGUAACGCGUGGGAACGUGCCCUUUGGUACGGGAUAACUGAGGGAAACUUCAGCUAAUACCGUAUGUGCCCUACGGGGGAAAGAUUUAUCGCCAUUGGAGCGGCCCGCGUUGGAUUAGGUAGUUGGUGAGGUAAAGGCUCACCAAGCCUACGAUCCAUAGCUGGUCUGAGAGGAUGAUCAGCCACACUGGGACUGAGGCACGGCCCAGACUCCUACGGGAGGCAGCAGUAGGGAAUCUUGCGCAAUGGGCGAAAGCCUGACGCAGCCAUGCCGCGUGAAUGAUGAAGGUCUUAGGAUUGUAAAAUUCUUUCACCGGGGAAGAUAAUGACGGUACCCGGAGAAGAAGCCCCGGCUAACUUCGUGCCAGCCGCCGCCGUAAUAC
rnacentral:rRNA from 1 species